rnacentral:rRNA from 1 species
AGAGUUUGAUCCUGGCUCAGGAUGAACGCUAGCGGCAGGCCUAAUACAUGCAAGUCGGACGGGAUCCAGAAUUAAGCUUGCUUAAUUUUGGUGAGAGUGGCGCACGGGUGCGUAACGCGUGAGCAACCUACCCAUAUCAGGGGGAUAGCCCGAAGAAAUUCGGAUUAAUACCGCAUAAUAAUACAGGAUGGCAUCAUCUAGUGUUUAAAUAUUUAUAGGAUAUGGAUGGGCUCGCGUGACAUUAGCUAGUUGGUAAGGUAACGGCUUACCAAGGCAACGAUGUCUAGGGGCUCUGAGAGGAGAAUCCCCCACACUGGUACUGAGACACGGACCAGACUCCUACGGGAGGCAGCAGUAAGGAAUAUUGGUCAAUGGAGGGAACUCUGAACCAGCCAUGCCGCGUGCAGGAAGACUGCCCUAUGGGUUGUAAACUGCUUUUGUCUGGGAAUAAAUGUAAGUACGAGUACUUAUUUGAAUGUACCAGAAGAAUAAGGAUCGGCUAACUCCGUGCCAGCAGCCGCGGUAAUACGGAGGAUCCGAGCGUUAUCCGGAUUUAUUGGGUUUAAAGGGUGCGUAGGCGGCUUUAUAAGUCAGAGGUGAAAUACGGCAGCUCAACUGUCGCAGUGCCUUUGAUACUGUAGAGCUUGAAUGUGAUUGAAGAUGGCGGAAUGAGACAAGUAGCGGUGAAAUGCAUAGAUAUGUCUCAGAACCCCGAUUGCGAAGGCAGCUGUCUAAGUCAUGAUUGACGCUGAUGCACGAAAGCGUGGGGAUCAAACAGGAUUAGAUACCCUGGUAGUCCACGCCCUAAACGAUGAUAACUCGAUGUUAGCGAUAUACAGUUAGCGUCUUAGCGAAAGCGUUAAGUUAUCCACCUGGGGAGUACGCCCGCAAGGGUGAAACUCAAAUGAAUUGAC